CGCUGUGUUCUCUCGGCAAUGCCCACCUUCGCCCUCACAGUGCUGCGAGCGCCCAAAAAGUUUUACAAGGAAGUGGACAGGGCAAGAAGAAGGUUCCUCUGGGCGCAAGACGAAGUGUCCACUGGUGGAAAGUGCAAGGUGCGAUGGCAGGCGGUGACCGCGCCAGCGCGCGCAGGAGGCCUGGGCAUCCAUGAUCUGGCGAAGUUCGCCCGGGCCCUCCGCCUGCGAUGGCUAUGGCUUGCCUGGACGCAGCCCUCCCACCCCUGGGUUGGCACCGGCUCUCCAUGCGACGACGCCGAUCGCGCCCUGUUCGCUGCCUGCACGGUCAUCACCGUCAGGGACGGCUCCACGGCUUCCUUCUGGCACUCUCCCUGGCUCAACGGCAGACAGCUAUGUCAGGCAUAUCCCGCAGUGUUUGCUCACUCCAUCCGCAAGAACAGAUCCGUUCAAGAAGCCCUGCAUCAGGACCGAUGGGUACUCGACCUCCGCCAUGGUGAUCAUGAAAACAUCAUGCACACGGUGCUGUAG
rnacentral:rRNA from 1 species